UGGGGAAUAUUGCGCAAUGGGCGAAAGCCUGACGCAGCGACGCCGCGUGAGGGAUGAAGGUUUUCGGAUCGUAAACCUCUGUCAGAAGGGAAGAAACCGCACUGUGCUAAUCAGCAGUGCCUUGACGGUACCUUCAAAGGAAGCACCGGCUAACUCCGUGCCAGCAGCCGCGGUAAUACGGAGGGUGCAAGCGUUAAUCGGAAUUACUGGGCGUAAAGCGCACGUAGGCUGCUUUGUAAGUCAGGGGUGAAAUCCCACGGCUCAACCGUGGAACUGCCUUUGAUACUGCUUAGCUUGAAUCCGGGAGAGGGUGGCGGAAUUCCAGGUGUAGGAGUGAAAUCCGUAGAUAUCUGGAGGAACAUCAGUGGCGAAGGCGGCCACCUGGACCGGUAUUGACGCUGAGGUGCGAAAGCGUGGGGAGCAAACAGG
rnacentral:rRNA from 3 species